GGCGCCGUAGCUCAGUGGCAGAGCAAAGGACUCAUAAGCCUUGGGUCGGUGGUUCAAAUCCACCCGGCGCCA
rnacentral:tRNA from 1 species